rnacentral:rRNA from 1 species
AAUAUUAUUUUUUCCGAGUUAAAGGAGAUAUAUUAUUAUGAUAUUUUACGUUUUAUAGUGAUUUUUAAUUUUAAUAUAGGAGUUAUAUGCUAUUCAACUUUAAAUAUCUGGUUUCUUAAUAAAUUAAUUUAAUUAAGGCUUUAUUUAUGUUAUUUUAGAAUUUAUUUUUAUAUAAUAAUUUUUGCUAAUAAUAUGGGGGAUAAGCUCUUUAUUAUUUCUAUAAUUUAUUUAUUUAUACAAAUUAUAUAGGCUUUAUAACAGCCAUUAUUUAUUUCGUUAUAGUUAAUUUUGUUUUGAUUAUUUAUUUAUUUUUAAUUUAGAUUUUUAUUAAGGAUUAUUUUUUAAUUCAUAAUUAUUAUUUAUAAUGAUAAAAUUAGUAGUUUUGAAAAUUUAAAUUUAGUAAUUCGGCAAAUGAAAUUUCCGCCUGUUUAACAAAAACAUGUCCUGUAGAUUUUUAUUUCAGGUCUGACCUGCCCUAUGAUUUGUUUUAAAUGGCUGCAGAAUUUUAACUGUGCAAAGGUAGCAUAAUCAUUUGUCUUUUAAUUGAAGGCUUGUAUGAAUGGUUUGACGAGAAAUUAACUUUCUUAAUUUAAAUUUUAUUAAUUUAAUUUUUGAGUUAAAAAGCUUAAAUUUUUUUACUAGACGAGAAGACCCUAUAGAAUUUUAUUUUUAUAUUUAUAAUUUAAUUUUUAUGGCUUUAAAUUUAUUUUAUACUUUUAAAAAUUUUGUUGGGGCGACAGUGAAAUUUAAUUAACUUUCAUUAAAUUUAAUUCAUUCAUUAAUGUUUUUUUUGAUCCUUUAUUAUGGAUUAAAAGAUUAAAUUACCUUAGGGAUAACAGCGUAAUUUUUUCGGAGAGUUCAUAUUGAUGAAAAAGUUUGCGACCUCGAUGUUGGAUUAAAGAAAGAUUAGGAUGCAGUAGUUCUAAUUCUAAGUCUGUUCGACUUUUAAAUCUUUACAUGAUCUGAGUUCAGGCCGGCGUGAGCCAGGUUGGUUUCUAUCUGUAAAUUAACAUUAAAUUUUAGUACGAAAGGACCAAAUUUAAGUAAAAUUUAUUUAAUUUUGAAUAAUAUUAAACUAUUUUGGCAGAUUAGUGCUAUAAAGUUAGAAUUUAUAAAUGUAAUUUUAAAUUACAAAUAGUA